rnacentral:rRNA from 1 species
AGCGAACGCUGGCGGCAUGCUUAACACAUGCAAGUCGCACGGUCAGCAAUGGCAGUGGCGGACGGGUGAGUAACACGUAGGAAUCUAUCCCAGGGUGGGGGAUAACAGUGGGAAACUACUGCUAAUACCGCAUGAUACCUGAGGGUCAAAGGCGCAAGUCGCCUUGGGAGGAGCCUGCGUCUGAUUAGCUUGUUGGUGGGGUAAAGGCCUACCAAGGCUACGAUCAGUAGCUGGUCUGAGAGGAUGAUCAGCCACAUUGGGACUGAGACA